CAAAUGUGUGUAAAAUUGUCGUUAUUUCUAAGAUUGUUAGUACGUUUGUCAGGGAGAAGAUCGUACAAUUUAUGACUUGGUUUAGUCAUUCUUUUAAAGUGUGAUCUGCAAAGUUCAUCUCGUCUUUGUGAAAGACUUGGAAGCGGAAUAACUUCCAAGGCCUUCCUGUAAGAUAGGUCAGGAUAAAUUAUUCUUAGUGCUCGCUUUUGGACCCGCUCGACGUCAUCAGAAAGGUAUUGGGAAGCACCAAAGUUCCAUAAUUGGCAACCGUAUUCGAGGACUGAUCUUAUGCAGGUAGUAUAGACGGUUAAAAGGGAUGUAUGAUCAAGUCC